CUGCCUCUGUCACUUCUGUACCUUCAUGGUUCAUCCAGGCCACGAGGCUUGGGGGUAUGGGAGAGUUCGGGAAUGGCCAUGUGAUCAGAAGCUGCCACAGAAUAAUUCUUGAGACCCGGAAAGGCCAAGUGACCCUUUCCACCUGUCCAGAAUGGCUGGAUUUCCCUAGGGUGUCUGCAUCCCGUAAGUGGGGCCUCAGCUUUCUCCAACUCAAAAAACAGCAGAGGAAGAAGUGCCACAUCUGCAUGUGUGGAAACAUGAAGCCGGGGCCUGCGGGCAUGUACCAUGCAGGAGAGAGAGACCUCACGGGCAGGUCGGAAGUGAGAGCGAUGUUGCUAAUGACAGAGCUGGAGAGAGCUGUCCUCUAUUUAGCUCUGUUCCCACCGCGAGUCGAGCAGUUUAUAAGUAUUCUCUUAAU